AAUUUGAAGCAAGGGAAUACAGCCAUGCAGUAGCACGAUCCUCUAAAGUCAUGGGAAACAACCUUAAUUUAAUUCCCUCUUCAUCUAAGUAUUGAUUUCUAAAUGUUUGACAGAUUGUCAAAAAUUUGUUUAGAUGAAUAUAGGGUUGUUCACUCUCGAACCCAUAAAACUUGGGUAACAUGUUUAUUGUUGCAGCCCGAAUCUCGAAUUGGGCUGCAUUAUUAAUUG
rnacentral:lncRNA from 1 species